UACAGAGGGGGCGAGCGUUGUUCGGAAUUACUGGGCGUAAAGGGCGCGUAGGCGGCCUGUUAAGUCAUACGUGAAAUCCCUCGGCUCAACCGAGGAACUGCGUCUGAUACUGGUUGGCUUGAAUUCGGGAGAGGGAUGCGGAAUUCCAGGUGUAGCGGUGAAAUGCGUAGAUAUCUGGAGGAACACCGGUGGCGAAGGCGGCAUCCUGGACCGAGAUUGACGCUGAUGCGCGAAAGCCAGGGGAGCAAACGGG
rnacentral:rRNA from 1 species